rnacentral:rRNA from 1 species
GUGGGGAAUAUUGCGCAAUGGGCGAAAGCCUGACGCAGCGACGCAGCGUGAGGGACGAAGGCCUUCGGGUUGUAAACCUCUUUCAGCGGGGACGAAGCGCAAGUGACGGUACCCGCAGAAGAAGCACCGGCUAACUACGUGCCAGCAGCCGCGGUAAUACGUAGGGUGCAAGCAUUGUCCGGAUUUAUUGGGCGUAAAGAGCUCGUAGGCGGCUUGUCACGUCGGGUGUGAAAACUCGGGGCUCAACCCCGAGCCUGCACUCGAUACGGGCUAGCUAGAGUGUUGCAGGGGAGACUGGAAUUCCUGGUGUAGCGGUGAAAUGCGCAGAUAUCAGGAGGAACACCGGUGGCGAAGGCGGGUCUCUGGGCAACUACUGACGCUGAGGAGCGAAAGCGUGGGGAGCGAACAGGAUUAGAUACCCCAGUAGUCC